GGACGUAUGGGCAACCUGCUCGUGACAUCACUUCUGAUUGAUUUGCCUGCUCUAGCUGGCUAGGUGGGUGGCCCCGUCCUCCCUUGCCACUCUAUGUUCGUCCCUCCCGAAGCUCUGUGCUUGGGUCAGAGAGGAUGACCUUCCCUGAUAGAGGAAGAACGUUCUUUAGUCAAGGGUAUACAAACAGCUACAGUCCCCUGCUAGAAAACAAACUCUCAAGAAUGAGGAGCCCCUCAAGGAGGAAAGGAAAGACGGGGGCAGGAGUUUGGAAUCUACAAAAGAAUGAAGAGACUGUGU
ensembl:misc_RNA 7SK 7SK RNA